UGGGGAAUAUUGCACAAUGGGGGAAACCCUGAUGCAGCCAUGCCGCGUGUGUGAAGAAGGCCUUCGGGUUGUAAAGCACUUUCAGUAGGGAGGAAAGGUUGUAAGUUAAUACCUUGCAGCUGUGACGUUACCUACAGAAGAAGGACCGGCUAACUCCGUGCCAGCAGCCGCGGUAAU
rnacentral:rRNA from 1 species